rnacentral:rRNA from 1 species
AUUGAACGCUGGCGGCAUGCCUUACACAUGCAAGUCGAACGGUAACAGGCCGCAAGGUGCUGACGAGCGGCGAACGGGUUAGUAAUGCAUCGGAACUUGCCCCGUCGUGGGGGAUAACUGCUCGAACGAGCAGCUAAUGCCGCAUACGACCUGAGGGUGGAAGCGGGGGACCGUGAGGCCUCGUGCCAUUCGACCGGCCGAUGUCAGAUUAGCUAGUUGUUGGGGUAAAGGCCUACCAAGGCAACGAUCUGUAGUUGGUCUGAGAGGACGACCAGCAACACUGGGACUGAGACACGGCCCAGACUCCUACGGGAGGCAGCAGUGGGGAAUUUUGGACAAUGGGCGCAAGCCUGAUCCAGCAAUGCCGCGUGCAGGAAGAAGGCCUUCGGGUUGUAAACUGCUUUUGUCAGGGAAGAAAUCUUCUGGGCUAAUACCCCGGGAGGAUGACGGUACCUGAAGAAUAAGCACCGGCUAACUACGUGCCAGCAGCCGCGGUAACAC